UACGUAGGGUGGGAGCGUGGUCCGGAAUUACUGGGCGGAAAGAGCUCGUAGGUGGUUUGUCGCGUUGUUCGUGAAAACUCACAGCUUAACUGUGGGCGUGCGGGCGAUACGGGCAGACUGGAGUACUGCAGGGGAGACUGGAAUUCCUGGUGUAGCGGUGGAAUGCGCAGAUAUCAGGAGGAACACCGGUGGCGAAGGCGGGUCUCUGGGCAGUAACUGACGCUGAGGAGCGAAAGCGUGGGGAGCGAACAGG
rnacentral:rRNA from 1 species